UGCAUAUCCCAAAAGCGGAGGAAAAGAAACCAACAGGGAUUGCCCUAGUAACGGCGAGUGAAGCGGCAACAGCUCAAAUUUGAAAGCUGGCUCCGGCCCGCGUUGUAAUUUGCAGAGGAUGCUUCUGGCAAGGUGCCUUCCGAGUUCCCUGGAACGGGACGCCAUAGAGGGUGAGAGCCCCGUAUGGAUGGACACCAAGCCUGUGUGAAGCUCCUUCAACGAGUCGAGUAGUUUGGGAAUGCUGCUCUAAAUGGGAGGUAAAUCUCUUCUAAAGCUAAAUACCGGCCAGAGACCGAUAGCGCACAAGUAGAGUGAUCGAAAGAUGAAAAGCACCUUGAAAAGGGGGUUAAACAGUACGUGAAAUUGUUGAAAGGGAAGCGCUUGUGACCAGACUUGCGCCGGGCGGCUCAUCAGGGGUUCUCCCCUGUGCACUCCGCCCGGCUCAGGCCAGCAUCGGUUCUCGUGGGAGGAUAAGAACGGUGGGAACGUGGCCCCCCUCCGGGGGGGUGUUAUAGCCCACCGUACGAUACUCUCGUGGGGACCGAGGUUCGCGCUCCGCAAGGAUGCUGGCGUAAUGGUCAUCAGCGACCCGUCUUGAACACCCGGACCCAA
rnacentral:rRNA from 1 species